rnacentral:misc_RNA from 1 species
CACUUAACAAAUCUCAAUCUCCCUCAGUACCCCAACCCAAACCCCACUCUCUCUCUCUGUGAAGCGGAAGGCGGCCAAGAUGGGAUCAGUCUCGCUGAAAAUAGGAGAUGGAACUGCCAGAUUCAAGAGAGCAACUGUGUGUUCCUCAGCAGUUAACAUUCUUAUGAUCUUCUCUGUUAUCUCCACUAAUCUUUUUGCUCUUUAUGCCUUCACAUCCUCGCCCAAACAUCAUCAAAAUCAUAUCUUUCACAAUACCCACAAGAACAUCUCUCUAAUCUCUGAACAAGUCUCUCUAAUCCUAAGAGAGAUUGAUUCUUCCCAAAAAAAACUUGCAAAGAUGGAAAAGGAGCUCUUGGGCUACGAAACCAUGGAUAUU